rnacentral:rRNA from 1 species
CAAGUCGAGCGAGGUCCAUUCGGUGGUAACACUGAUGAAGACCUAGCGGCGAACGGGUGAGUAACACGUGAGCAACCUGCCCCGAAGUUCGGGAUAACCCGGGGAAACCCGAGCUAAUACCGGAUACCUUCCUUUGGUCGCAUGGCUAUUGGAGGAAAGAUUUAUCGCUUCGGGAGGGGCUCGCGGCCUAUCAGCUAGUUGGUGAGGUAACGGCUCACCAAGGCAUCGACGGGUAGCUGGUCUGAGAGGACGAUCAGCCACACUGGGACUGAGACACGGCCCAGACUCCUACGGGAGGCAGCAGUGGGGAAUCUUGCGCAAUGGGCGAAAGCCUGACGCAGCAACGCCGCGUGCGAGAGGAAGGCCUUAGGGUUGUAAAUCGCUUUCGGCAGGGACGAAAUUGACGGUACCUGCAGAAGAAGCCCCGGCCAACUACGUGCCAGCAGCCGCGGUAACACGUAGGGGGCGAGCGUUGUCCGGAUUUAUUGGGCGUAAAGAGCUCGUAGGCGGCUCAGUAAGUCUGCUGUUAAAGCUCCAGGCUCAACCUGGAGAGGCCAGUGGAUACUGCUGUGGCUAGAGUCCGGUAGGGGAGCGUGGAAUUCCCAGUGUAGCGGUGGAAUGCGCAGAUAUUGGGAGGAACACCAGCGGCGAAGGCGGCGCUCUGGACCGGAACUGACGCUGAGGAGCGAAAGCGUGGGUAGCAAACAGGAUUAGAUACCCUGGUAGUCCACGCCGUAAACGUUGGGCACUAGGUGUGGGAUCCCGUCAACGGAUUCCGUGCCGUAGCUAACGCAUUAAGUGCCCCGCCUGGGGAGUACGGCCGCAAGGCUAAAACUCAAAGGAAUUGACGG